GAUGAACGCUGGCGGCGUGCCUAAUACAUGCAAGUCGAGCGAACGGACGAGAAGCUUGCUUCUCUGAUGUUAGCGGCGGACGGGUGGGUAACACGUGGAUAACCUACCUAUAAGACUGGGAUAACUUCGGGAAACCGGAGCUAAUACCGGAUGAUAUUUGAACCGCAUGGUUCAAAAGUGAAAGACGGUCUUGCUGUCACUUAUAGAUGGAUCCGCGCUGCAUUAGCUAGUUGGUAAGGUAACGGCUUACCAAGGCAACGAUGCAUAGCCGACCUGAGAGGGUGAUCGGCCACACUGGAACUGAGACACGGUCCAGACUCCUACGGGAGGCAGCAGUAGGGAAUCUUCCGCAAUGGGCGAAAGCCUGACGGAGCAACGCCGCGUGAGUGAUGAAGGUCUUCGGAUCGUAAAACUCUGUUAUUAGGGAAGAACAUAUGUGUAAGUAACUGUGCACAUCUUGACGGUACCUAAUCAGAAAGCCACGGCUAACUACGUG
rnacentral:rRNA from 1 species